GAAAGUUUUUAUUUGAAGGAGAUCCGGACUCUCGCUCAUAGUCCGAUCUCUCAUAUGUCUUUAAACACCGCAUCCAACCGUACAUCACGAAUAUCUCCUGUGCGUCAGAUUUUCCCACCACCCGGAUCUCCUGCAAGCAAAAGCUCAGCACACACCGCUCAAGUGGAGGGACAAUUCCUCCGUUUGGAUGUGGCGCCUGCAUUCGCUUCGUCUCAGUCCUACGUUUUUGGAGUUGCAACAAUACAGGAAGAACACUAAGUGCAUGAGAACUUAUGCGACUGAGCAAGGAAUGGUGUGAUGGAGGCUAAGGUGGUCUUUGGCAGUUGAAUGAUGGAUGAAACCGAACUAAAGAAAGGAUCUUUUGGAAAUUCAACUCACGAAUACCGUGGCAUUUUAACAGCGUAGUUAUAUGGAAAGAGGAUCUAAAUGAAGGGUAUAUUGUGAUGCAGAUGGGUCAAGAUGCCGCAUUAUUGAUAAAAGCUGUAUUAAACUUGUUACUAGUUAUUAUGAUGUUGAAAGCAUUUCUUACAACCCUUAUCA